GGGAAAGGAUGUUGAUCGAUCUUCAUUGGCUUUACUGGCUUUGCCACAACUUCGAACUUGAGCCUGCCUUGCUUAAUGGCCGAUUGUAUCUGCUACCGAAAGAUCUUGCACUCGUUCGUGUCGUGGGACGUGGCAUUGUGCCAUUUGCAAUACUUCAUCUUUUUGAGCUGCUCGGCUGAUGGAAUUGUGUGAUAGGGUGAAAUCUUGAUCUGCCCCUCUUGGAGAAGUAAAUCGAAGAUCUUGUCGGCCUUUGACGUGUCAAAACCGACUGCUUCUGGUUCUUUCUUUUCGAACGGGCAUGAUAUCGGAUUUUUUCCUUUUACCCAUUCCGCUAGGCCGAUUUCUGCUUCUUCCUCCG
rnacentral:lncRNA from 1 species